AGCUCCAAUAGCGUAUAUUAAAGUUGUUGCAGUUAAAAAGCUCGUAGUUGGAUUUCUGGUGGGCGCAUCCGGUCCGCUCCGCAAGGAGUGCGCACUGGCGAUGUCGCCGGCCACUUUCACGGCGAACGAUUCUGGCAUUAAGUUGUCGGGGUCGGGAGCCGUGUCAUUUACUGUGAAAAAAUUAGAGUGUUUAAAGCAGGCAUUUGCUGUGAAUACAUUAGCAUGGAAUAAUAAGAUAGGACUUUGGUACUAUUUUGUUGGUUUGCAUACCAAGGUAAUGAUUAACAGGGACAGUUGGGGGUAUUCGUAUUUUGAUGUCAGAGGUGAAAUUCUUGGAUUUUCGAAAGACGAACUUCUGCGAAAGCAUUUACCAAGGAUGUUUUCA
rnacentral:rRNA from 1 species